UACGUAGGUGACAAGCGUUGUCCGGAUUUACUGGGCGUAAAGAGCUCGUAGGCGGUUUGUUGCGUCGGCUGUGAAAUCCCGAGGCUCAACCUCGGGUCUGCAGUCGAUACGAGCAAACUAGAGUGUUGCAGGGGAGACUGGAAUUCCUGGUGUAGCGGUGAAAUGCGCAGAUAUCAGGAGGAACACCGGUGGCGAAGGCGGGUCUCUGGGCAACAACUGACGCUGAGGAGCGAAAGCGUGGGGAGCGAACAGG
rnacentral:rRNA from 1 species